rnacentral:rRNA from 1 species
GUACGGGAGGCAGCAAUCAGGAAUCUUGCGCAAUGGGGGAAACCCUGACGCAGCGACGUCGCGUGGAGGAAGACGGCCUUCGGGUUGUAAACUCCUUUUAUGAGGGACGAGUAAAGGACGGUACCUCAUGAAUAAGCCCCGGCUAACUCCGUGCCAGCAGCCGCGGUAAUACGGAGGGGGCGAGCGUUGUCCGAAUUUAUUGGGCGUAAAGCGCGUGUAGGCGGACCGUCAAGCCUGGGGUGAAAGGUUUGGGCUCAACCCGAACAGUGCCCUGGGGACUGGUGGUCUGGAGGGAGGCAGAGGAGUGUGGAAUUCCUGGUGCAGCGGUGGAAUGCGUAGAGAUCAGGAAGAACACCCAUGGCGAAGGCAGCACUCUGGGCCUCACCUGACGCUGAGACGCGAAAGCGCGGGGAGCGAACAGGAUUAGAUACCCCGGUAGU